AACGCUGGCGGCAGGCUUAACACAUGCAAGUCGAGCGGUAACAGGCCUUCGGGUGCUGACGAGCGGCGAACGGGUGAGUAACGCGUAGGAAUCUGCCUGAUAGAGGGGGAUAGCCCGGGGAAACUCGGAUUAAUACCGCAUACGCCCUACGGGGGAAAGCAGGGGAUCUUCGGACCUUGCGCUAUCAGAUGAGCCUGCGUCGGAUUAGCUAGUUGGUAGGGUAAAGGCCUACCAAGGCGACGAUCCGUAACUGGUCUGAGAGGAUGAUCAGUCACACUGGAACUGAGACACGGUCCAGACUCCUACGGGAGGCAGCAGUGGGGAAUAUUGGACAAUGGGGGCAACCCUGAUCCAGCCAUGCCGCGUGUGUGAAGAAGGCCUUCGGGUUGUAAAGCACUUUAAGCAGGGAGGAAAGGGUGAAGGCUAAUAUCCUUCAUCAUUGACGUUACCUGCAGAAUAAGCACCGGCUAACUUCGUGCCAGCAGCCGCGGUAAUACGAAGGGUGCAAGCGUUAAUCGGAAUUACUGGGCGUAAAGCGCGCGUAGGCGGUUUGAUAAGUUGGAUGUGAAAGCCCCGGGCUCAACCUGGGAAUUGCAUCCAAGAC
rnacentral:rRNA from 1 species